ACUAAAAAUGUUUUCAACCUCUUUCCAAAGUGCAGGGCAUGUAUGAGAAUGCUCUAAAUGGGUUUAAAACGAUGUGCUGCAGGUGCAAGUAAAACAAAGCAUCACACAGAACAUUCUAGACUUCAGUGGGCGGAGCCACAAAGGACAGCCCCUCCCCCCUCGUGGUUUAUUACCUCACACUCGCCUUAUUGUCUGCCCACUUCUCCACUGCCAGGGAACCGCUGCCUUCAAUACGGUUGCUAAGCAAUCGUAACCAUAGCAGACUCAGUCCUUACCUCUAGUGAAUUCUGCUAUCUCCCUCAUCCCCUCCCCAACUUCAUACUUUUUUUGUUGACACCAGGCCUCUCCUUUGAAGCGGCAUGUAUAAAAGACAUUAUUAAAAUUUAAGGAAGGAAGAGGGGGAAGAAUCAAAGAUGACAGAAUAACCAGAUCCUUCGGGGAUUUCGCAUAUUUUCAUGAUUUAUUAUACUGUUCAUGUUGUCAGGUUUAGAACGAUUUUUUCCAAGAUGUUAAAUUGGUUGGUAAAAGCAGUAGCACAGCCAAACCAUCAAUUAUAAUAUUGUGGGCAGUGAUGUUGUUGCCUGGGCUUGGAUUCAAACGACAUUUUUCCAUAGCUUUCACUCAAUCCUGGAUUCGAUACACAUCAUUUUUAACAAUAAAAUGCAGGUAAUAGUUUGUUCCCCAUCACACAUCAAAACAAUUUGGCGAGUUAAGUCGUACAGACUAAACUCUAAAUUCACAACAGUUUCUUGUGAAGAACAAAAACUUGUACUGUUGUUUACAGGCAGGUGUGUACCUGUACUGCUGUUAAUAGACAGGUGUGUCCUUGUACUGAUGUUUACAGAUCGGUGUGUACUUGUACUGAUGUUUACAGACAGGUCUGUGGUUGUACUGCUGUUUACAGACAGGUUUGUGCUUGUACUGCUGUUAAUAGACAGGUGUGUACUGGUACUGCUGUUAAUAGACAGGUGUGCACUGGUGCUGCUGUUCACAGACAGGCUUAAUCAGCCCUGCAUUGGCAUGACUGGCCUCUCACUAGACGCUCUUUCUGUGAAUCACAUUAUGAAUUCUUAGUGGAAUUACAGAAUAAAAACUCCAUCUGUUCGUAAUAACUUGUAAUUUCUGUUUUGAUUGCUUUUGAUGAGAAUCCGUGCUUGGAGAUCCGUCUGACUGCACGGUCCGAUUGUUCUGUUUGGAGAUGUUUUUCUUCCAUUAAUCCUAUACGAAAAUAAAUGAACAAAAAACUUCCCAA